GACGAACGCUGGCGGCGUGCCUAAUACAUGCAAGUCGAACGAGAGCGACCGGUGCUUGCACUGGUCAAUCUAGUGGCGAACGGGUGAGUAACACGUGGGUAACCUGCCCAUCAGAGGGGGAUAACAUCCGGAAACGGAUGCUAAAACCGCAUAGGUCUUCGAGCCGCAUGGCUUGAAGAGGAAAAGAGGCGCAAGCUUCUGCUGAUGGAUGGACCCGCGGUGCAUUAGCUAGUUGGUGAGGUAACGGCUCACCAAGGCCGUGAUGCAUAGCCGACCUGAGAGGGUGAUCGGCCACAUUGGGACUGAGACACGGCCCAAACUCCUACGGGAGGCAGCAGUAGGGAAUCUUCCGCAAUGGACGCAAGUCUGACGGAGCAACGCCGCGUGAGUGAAGAAGGUUUUCGGAUCGCAAAACUCUGUUGUUAGAGAAGAACAAGUGCUAGAGUAACUGUUAGCGCCUUGACGGUAUCUAACCAGAAAGCCACGGCUAACUACGUG
rnacentral:rRNA from 1 species